CAGGCAGCUUGCACAGGGAGGGGACCAGGCAGGGGUCCCUGAGGGGGCCCACAGGCCUGCAUGGCCGAGCCCAGGGCCCAGAGAAGGUGGCUUGGGGGCCGAGCCCACAGAGGCAGCCAAGGCUCCGCUGUCUGUGUCCUCCAGCGCUCAGCGCUGAGUAGGCAGUCCCAGUGUCGGGCUGAGGGGGCGAGGCCUGGAUCCCUGAGGCCAUUGGCAGUUCCAGGCCCGCCUCUGCCAGCCCCGCUCUCCACUCCUCUGGGGGAAGGAGGCAGGGGCUGAGGCCCACUCCGCUCCCCGUCAGCUGCGGGCAGAGCUGGCCUGGGUGGGGGUGUGGAGGGGACGGUGGCCCUUGUCGCGUUCCUCUCCUCUCCUCUCCUCAGGCCCAGCACAAUCACCUUGUGUCUGGCAACGGCAAGGGCUUUUCCUAUCAGAGGAAACUGAAGGUCACACUUUUCCUCAUUGAUCUCGCAAUGUUUGUUAAUUACUCUGUCACUGAUGUGGCGAAGGAUAAUUAAACAGCUCUGUUUAUAUCUUACAUGCAUAAUUAUGUGGCUGCGCAGGGCUCCCCGCACGGGGAGGAGAUGCACCCCUUGCUGCAGGGGAAGGGCUAGGGGAGCGGGCAGGGGAGGCGCAGGGCACCGGGCACAAGGCUGGGAAGGAGGCCGGGGGCAGAGAGAAGGCCCAGACCUGGGGGCUGUGGUCCUGGCGACCCCCUUGCCUGCUGGAACCCCCGGCCCACCCUCCCCUGAGCAGAAGGCGCGCAGGGCUGCUCUCGAUCCCCAGGACAUGGACAUGGAGACACCAGCAGAGCAGGGCCUCAGUGCCUCGUGGGAGAGAGGUCAGCCAGGGGACCGUGGCCGGGGCAGCUGGCUGUAAGAGGAUACGCUGGCCGGGCUGGCAAUCCAUGUGGCCCUGAGACGUCCUGCUGGGAGGGCCAGGGACAGCGGUGUAGGGAAGGAAGAGGAGGCCAAGGGGAGUGGCAGGAGAACAAAGCUUGUCCUGGGCUCCUCCGAGAAAGCUCCGUAAGUAGCAGAAUGUGCAGACAGCAGGCUCACAGGCUCAUGCCGUUGACCGCUGCGCCCCUCUUGUGCCAGGUACUGUGCCCGGUAAGCUCAGGCCUCACAGGUGUGUGUAAAGAGUCACCUGCCCACCAUCUGUCCAG
rnacentral:lncRNA from 1 species